AGCUGUUUUGGGACUACAGUUCCCAUCAUCCCUGACCACUGGCCCUGCUAGCUAGGGAUGAUGGGAGUUGUAGUCCAGAAACAACU